GGAGAGGUGGCCGAGUGGCUGAAGGCAGCCGCCUGCUAAGCGGUUAUAGGGGUUAAACUCUAUCGAGGGUUCGAAUCCCUCCUUCUCCGCCA
rnacentral:tRNA from 1 species